rnacentral:rRNA from 1 species
GCUUGCACCUUUCAAGCGAGUGGCGAACGGGUGAGUAACACGUGGAUAACCUGCCUCAAGGCUGGGGAUAACAUUUGGAAACAGAUGCUAAUACCGAAUAAAACUUAGUAUCGCAUGAUACAAAGUUGAAAGGCGCUACGGCGUCACCUAGAGAUGGGUCCGCGGUGCAUUAGUUAGUUGGUGGGGUAAAGGCCUACCAAGACAAUGAUGCAUAGCCGAGUUGAGAGACUGAUCGGCCACAUUGGGACUGAGACACGGCCCAAACUCCUACGGGAGGCUGCAGUAGGGAAUCUUCCACAAUGGGCGAAAGCCUGAUGGAGCAACGCCGCGUGUGUGAUGAAGGCUUUAGGGUCGUAAAGCACUGUUGUAUGGGAAGAAAUGCUAGAAUAGGGAAUGAUUCUAGUUCGACGGUACCAUACCAGAAAGGGACGGCUAAAUACGUGCCAGCAGCCGCGGUAAUACGUAUGUCCCGAGCGUUAUCCGGAUUUAUUGGGCGUAAAGCGAGCGCAGACGGUUGAUUAAGUCUGAUGUGAAAGCCCGGAGCUCAACUCCGGAAUGGCAUUGGAAACUGGUUAACUUGAGUGUUGUAGAGGUAAGUGGAACUCCUGGUGUAAACGGG